rnacentral:rRNA from 1 species
UACGUAGGGUGCAAGCGUUAAUCGGAAUUACUGGGCGUAAAGCGUGCGCAGGCGGUUUUGUAAGUCUGUCGUGAAAUCCCCGGGCUUAACCUGGGAAUGGCGAUGGAGACUGCAAGGCUAGAGUUUGGCAGAGGGGGGUAGAAUUCCACGUGUAGCAGUGAAAUGCGUAGAGAUGUGGAGGAACACCGAUGGCGAAGGCAGCCCCCUGGGCCUGCACUGACGCUCAUGCACGAAAGCGUGGGGAGCAAACAGG